GGGAAUUAUGAAGGGAGUCAAUUGGGUGGCAUCGCCGCGUUGGUGUCUUUUUUAUUUUACUGACCACUUUAGUUUAUUGAUGGCGGAAUGCUUUAGAAAAGUAAGUGAUUAUUGAUUGGCAUAAAAUGCUAAACUAGCCACGGUCGUGGAGGCAGGUGAAUGAGGCAGUUCGACAUGGUCAAUACGGCAUCUUGGGCCUGAUCAGCUUACCUGCUUUAGAAAGUUUAGUGCUAACGACAGGCCGUGGGCAAUGCUGAGACAUGGCCGAGGGCGCCCUUUAAAGUUUACAUAAAACAAGAUACAUGUAAUGCCGCGACAGAGGAAAAAAGGUUCUUCCAGGAAGCACCCUCUGGUGUUCACAGAGAGUCCAGUGGAAGUCAGCCGUCGGUUCCCGAGUCCCGUCUUCGCAGCAAGAAACCCAAUCGGAGCCAAUCUUGUCGCUGUUGAUGAAAAGCGGCACUUCUGGGUAUCACCGCAAAUCGAUCCGAAUGCACCUCACACACCACCAAGGCGAGGCCGGGCUAGACGAAACAAGACGGCCUGUUCUCUGGACCCGUUGACGCAAACCCAAAGAUGCAAGGAGAUUACCCGGAGAGAGACAGCAAGUCAUUUCACGAGCCUGCAGUUUGUCCGGGGCAAUGCAGGAAAAAGCAACAGCGGGAUAGUAGCAGCUGGCAAGCAGGCAGGCAGUGACUGCUCCUCUGAUUCCUCAACUGAAUCAACUCUGACAAGCAUCAGCCAUGUAGGACGCGAGGGGAUCCAGCAGGAGGUCCAGUUAACCAACAAAAGGCGAUCGCCUCUUAAGGACAUUGGAAUUGCGGGGAGGACUCGGGCCCAGCAGAGAAGGUCAAAUCCAAAAGCAGCCAAAAUUGGAACCACCUGUGCUUGGAGAAUGUGGAAGAUGACUCAUGGCAUAUAUGUACAUCAGCGACUGACAAGCAAGGAAAUAAUAACAAUCCGUGUAUUCCGAGUGGUCAGAAAGAAAAUUGUGGUUCUAAAAAUGACGUGUAUGAACACCAUUCAACAGAGCAAGAAAUUUUGUCACCUAAUGACACAACCAGCCCAGUGAGCUUGAUCGCAAAGAAAAGAAAAUCAGACAGGACUUCACAGAAGCCUAUUACCAGAGAUCAAAGUGCUGUUAGCAAAGCAUGUGGAAACAAUAGAAAAGGCCAUUCGGUCCGGUUUCAUCAGUCUGAGACCUCGUCAUCUGACUCCCAGAAGAGCUCAGGCAUAUUGCAAGUCAUGAGGCAUAGGAAAAGAAGUGCAAUUUCGGAAGGUGGCGAUACCGGCAAGGAUACCAGCCAAGGAGGGAAAUGUGGAGCCGGGAAGGCUUCAUCACAUAAGGCAAGCGUCUUGGCCUACGAUACCCCCGAAGCAGAAUAUGGGGUUCGGGUAAGCCUGCGGCGCAGACGAAAGCUGCUUCCAACACCAGCUAGAAACAAAUUGAUGAUGUGUCUCUAAUAGGGCUUUUGUCAAGUCCCUGUAAGUCCUGCCACCACAGCUCUCCAGUCUUGGGCCAAGUCACCAUCCAUUCAUACGAACGGUGACAGAAGUGUUCCUAUGCCAUCAUUCAUCCUGUAGCCUGUGUCUGGUGUUGUGAUGGACUCGACUGUAGCACUGGUCUGAAUCGGCUAAUUUGUUAAUUCUUGUGUAACACAAAGGGUGGAUCUAGGGGAUCUAGCAAAGGGCCAACCCACUCCUCCCAAAAGAGCUCCCCAAAAUUGGAAAAAAACAAUGAGGGAAAGGCAUUUCGUUUUGGUCUGUUUCAUUUCCCUUCCUUCCAAAAGCAUACACAAAGCCCCAAAAUGCCAAUGGCUAGAACGCGAUGCACCGUAUCCGUGGUUUCCUUUAAAUAUGGCCGGUUUUUUGGCUCAGUGUUAAGAGGUACCUGUGGGAAACCACUCGACAUUAACCCGCUUUUUCAAAUUAGAAAAAUUAGACCCCGACCGCACAGCGUUUUCAGUGCUUCAGCAAAUUAGUCUUUUUCUUUUCCUUUUAUUUCCGUACAUUCUGGUACCUGUCUCUCUGACAGGACUUUGUCACAUGUCACGUGUAAGUGCAGCUGCAACGUUUACAAAAGUGCACAUAUGGAAACUGCGCUUUCUAUCCGACAUCGCCCGAUUUUCCGUUCUCACGCAUAGCCACUUAUCAAUGAUCAAACCACCUGCACUUAAGUACACAUGUACUUCAUUUACAAAUCGAGAAAACUUUAUUCAGCUGUUGACAUACAUGUAUGUUGUUGCACAUUUAGCACACACUACUUUUUCAGUGAACACACAAGCAUCACUUUACAUGCAUUACAAAUGAAAUGUUGGUAAAACACGCCUAGCAGGUGGCUGAACUUGUUUGGAAGCAGAAACAGAACCCAUAAAUCGUGUGCAAGUCACGUGUAGAUAAUAAUAGUGAAAUAAUCACAGUGUAUAGUACGUCGCAGUUGCGACUCGAACCAGCUGUGAGAUAAAUUUCAGUCAUCCUUUUUGCGCUUGUAAUUGAUAUUUACAUGACAUUAAGGUUUACUGUACACACGGUCUAUUUUCACACCACUUCUUUUACUUCUUUUUUUUAUAUUCUUGUUACUUUUACUUAUUUCGUAUUCAUUUCCCCGCUCCACAACCUCGACAGGCAUUAGGGCGUCUUAAGUUAAUUGUAAAUCUGGGGUUCCCAUUUCCCGCCGACCCUUAUUUUGGGCUCCCAUCGACAAAAAAAAUUUUUCCGAUUUUAUCUGGACUUUCCUACCAAUAAAAAGAGAAGAAAGGACAAUCCCAA